UGGCGGACGGGUGAGUAACGCGUGGGUAACCUGCCCUGUACAGGGGGAUAACAGUUAGAAAUGACUGCUAACACCGCAUAAGCGCACGGUAAGGCAUCUUAGUGUGUGAAAAUAUUCAUAGGUACAGGAUGGGCCCGCGUCUGAUUAGCCAGUUGGCAGGGUAACGGCCUACCAAAGCGACGAUCAGUAGCCGGCUUGAGAGAGUGAACGGCCACAUUGGGACUGAGACACGGCCCAAACUCCUACGGAAGGCAGCAG
rnacentral:rRNA from 1 species